rnacentral:lncRNA from 1 species
CAAAAUUGCGUCACUUACCGCAUAGAACCGAAAAAUGGACAACGAUUUUCGGCUAAUUUCCUAAAUGAAAAACCCAAUUUCAAAGUAGUAUUUCUUAGUAAUUCUUUGACUGAUCGCCCUAAAUUUUAGUUUUGUACACAUAUGAAAUGUCUGCUAUUGCCGUCUAUAAUGAAAUUGAUUUGAAAAAUAUUGUUUAAAGCUGCAGUUAUUUGGAUUUAAGUAGAUGUAUAAAAACGGCGAAUAUGUGUCCCCAUAGACAAAACAUCAGGCAAUUUCAAACACCCUUUAAUCUAAUUUUUCAGAUGAUUAUUUUCAAACAAGUUCUUAAGCUUAAGAAUAUUUUACAUUUGAAGUUAU